rnacentral:rRNA from 1 species
ACGAACGCUGGCGGCGUGCCUAAUACAUGCAAGUCGAGCGAAUCUUUAGGAGCUUGCUCCUAUUGAUUAGCGGCGGACGGGUGAGUAACACGUGGGCAACCUGCCUGUAAGACUGGGAUAACAUCGGGAAACCGAUGCUAAUACCGGAUAAUCCUUUUCCUCUCAUGAGGAAAAGCUGAAAGUCGGUUUCGGCUGACACUUACAGAUGGGCCCGCGGCGCAUUAGCUAGUUGGUGAGGUAACGGCUCACCAAGGCGACGAUGCGUAGCCG